rnacentral:rRNA from 1 species
GCUAAGAAUCUUCCGCAAUGGGGGAAACCCUGACGGAGCGACGCCGCGUGGACGAUGAAGGCCGUAAGGUUGUAAAGUCCUUUUGCAGGAGAAGAAUAAGGUGGGGAGUGGAAAGCCUCAUCGAUGACGUUAUCCUGCGAAUAAGCCCCGGCCAAUUACGUGCCAGCAGCCGCGGUAAUACGUAUGGGGCGAGCGUUGUUCGGAGUUAUUGGGCGUAAAGGGCGUGUAGGCGGCCCGACAAGUCUGGUGUGAAAUCGCAGGGCUCAACCCUGCGGGUGCGCUGGAAACGGUCGGGCUGGAGUCCCGGGGGGGAAGCUGGAAUUCCUGGUGUAGGAGUGAAAUCUGUAGAGAUCAGGAAGAACACCGGUGGCGAAGGCGAGCUUCUAUUCGAGGACUGACGCUGAGGCGCGAAAGCGUGGGGAGCAAACAGGAUUAGAAACCCGAGUAGUCC